UGAAACUAGCAGACACUGAUUAUGUGUUGCCCUUUACAAAAGAGAACUGUACUGCGAAGAUGAAAUAGCAAAUUAGGUAUUUUUGAAUCACAAGAUGCAACGCAAUUCUAAUCCCUUAAAGGACAGCGGUAACUAUGUGUACCACAUUUCUCAACAUUGAAAGCUUUCCAUUUUGUCAGCACAGUGUGCUUAUGUGUGUUGUGUAAUUCCCGGAUUAAACAGAGAUUCUUUCCCCUAACCAGCAUUAACAGAUUUGUCUAUGUAAUAGGGAUAUAUUUGUUUACUGCGAGGUGGGAACUCAAAUGGGUAAGAAUUAUUUAGAUGAAAUUCAAUCUUCAAAUAAAAGUUGGCAGCAAAGAA